rnacentral:lncRNA from 1 species
AUUCCACGACUUUUGGAUGCACGAGAAACUAUGCAUUGCAUGUUAUCUCUUCACUGUGGGGGUGAUUGGUAGCCCAGCUCGCACCAUCCGGAUCCGCGCGGUGCAGGUUGGGCUCAGAUUCCCCCAGCCUUACCGAUCAACGGGCAUGUUGGAUUCAGCUUAUAAGCCGGCUGAAUAAGCUGAAGCGAACAGGGUGAACAAUUCUAUCCGUCCUAUGCUUCUCUAGUGGACACUAUGAACCUCAAUCUCAUCACCAUCCUAUACCUCUUCUUGAACUGCAACCAAUCAC